rnacentral:rRNA from 1 species
GACGUAGGGCGCGAGCGUUGUCCGGAAUUAUUGGGCGUAAAGAGCUCGUAGGCGGCUUGUCACGUCGGGUGUGAAAGCCCGGGGCUUAACCCCGGGUCUGCAUUCAAUACGGGCUAGCUAGAGUGUGGUAGGGGAGAUCGGAAUUCCUGGUGUAGCGGUGAAAUGCGCAGAUAUCAGGAGGAACACCAGCGGCGAAGGCGGCGCUCUGGGCCGGAACUGACGCUGAGGAGCGAAAGCGUGGGUGGCAAACAGG